CAGUUCAUAACCGCCGUCCAUGCCCCAGAUCCUUCGAAUCACCUCAACAUCCAGAUUGCAGCUCCACCAUCGUCUCCUUGCAAGCUCUGACUUGGUUCAAAUUUUCUUGCCGCCUGGUGAGUCCAGGUUCAUGAGAGCUGGACAUCCUACUACAACCAGCUCACCAUAGUGCCAUCGACGGACUGACCACAAGUUGUGGCCGAAAACACCUGACUUAUAACAAUCAAGAAUCAAAGUCAUAACCGCGAGCCGUCCAGUAAAACCCAAGAGAUGGAAGGCCGAGCUCCUUUCAGAGAUAUUACAAAUGUUCACUCCACGACUUCACCAAAAGGGAAGCAACGUACGUUGUUUUUAUUAAACCGAUAUCUUCUACUUAUUAUCCUUAUUGAUCGCUUGCCUUGAUACCGUGUGUUUUUGUUUGGUGGGGAAAUAGUAGCUGUGAUUGCAGAGCAGAAUGAUCCUUUUGCAGAAACCAAAAACACUAUGCAAAUGAAUUCUUCCCAGCUUCAGAGGAUGAUGUUCUCCCCUUCAAGUUUAAAAGAAACAAUUUCCAAUUCGGCUUAGUUUUGCCAUGACAAUCAACAAAGCCCAGGGUCAAACCAUCCCAAAUGUUGGCGUAUAUCUUCCUGAGCCGGUGUUUUCUCAUGGACAACUCUAUGUUGCUUUGUCUAGAGGGACAUCAAGACAAACAACUAGAAUACUUGCAAGGCCAAAUAAGGAUAAUGACCCAUCAGGGAAAAGCACAAAAAAUAUUGUCUACAGGGAUGUUUUGGUAUAAUCCAUGUACAUGCUGUGUACUGUAGUGUGAUGUUUCUAAUAUGUUUCUAUUCAUGUAAA